UGGGGAAUCUUGCGCAAUGGGCGAAAGCCUGACGCAGCCAUGCCGCGUGAAUGAUGAAGGUCUUAGGAUUGUAAAAUUCUUUCACCGGGGACGAUAAUGACGGUACCCGGAGAAGAAGCCCCGGCUAACUUCGUGCCAGCAGCCGCGGUAAUACGAAGGGGGCUAGCGUUGCUCGGAAUUACUGGGCGUAAAGGGAGCGUAGGCGGACAUUUAAGUCAGGGGUGAAAUCCCGGGGCUCAACCUCGGAAUUGCCUUUGAUACUGGGUGUCUUGAGUGUGAGAGAGGUAUGUGGAACUCCGAGUGUAGAGGUGAAAUUCGUAGAUAUUCGGAAGAACACCAGUGGCGAAGGCGACAUACUGGCUCAUUACUGACGCUGAGGCUCGAAAGCGUGGGGAGCAAACAGGAUUAGAUACCCUGGUAGUCCACGCCGUAAACGAUGAUUGCUAGUUGUCGGGAUGCAUGCAUUUCGGUGACGCAGCUAACGCAUUAAGCAAUCCGCCUGGGGAGUACGGUCGCAAGAUUAGAACUCAAAGGAAUUGACGGGGUCAUAGCUGUUUCCUG
rnacentral:rRNA from 1 species